rnacentral:rRNA from 1 species
AUGGUCGAAGGCUCGGAGACGGACAUCUCUAAUCUUAAGUUCCUCCUCCUUCGCUUUCAACAAAUGUCAGGCCUCAAGAUCAAUUUCGACAAGAGUGAUGUGAUGGUGACGGGCUACUCUUCAGAGGAACGUCUGAGCAUUGCCAACCAUCUUAACUGCCGCCUGGGCUCCUUUCCCAUGACUUACUUGGGAACGCCCAUUAGUGACUCUAGGCUCACCGUCGCUGACUUGCGUCUGACUGUGGCCAACCUGCAAACGCGCAUAGAGCCCUGGCAGGGUAGGUGGCUUUCGAAGGCGGCCCGGACGAUCCUCAUCAACUCCUCCCUCUCCAGCCUCCUCUUGUUCUUCAUGAGCUUCUACAGUCUUCACGAGACCCUGCACCAUGAGAUCGCCAAAGUCCAGUCUCGUUUCUACUGGGCAUGCGACAAUAAUAAGCAGAAAUACCAUAUGGUUAGCUGGCCUGACAUAUGCAAACCGCGGGAUCAAGGCGAACUCGGUAUCAUGUGCUCUAAGCGCAUGAAUAUUGCCCUCUUAUCCCCCUGGCUCUGGCGCAUUUCGCAAGGGCAUGGCGGCCUCUGGUUAGACAUCAUCCGGAACAAGUACCUGCGUGGUCAACCCCUUGCUUUCUGUCAGCACUCCGGCGGUUCCCAGUUCUGGCAGUCAAUAAUCCAACUUCUCCCGGUCCUCCGCAUUGGGACCUCUAUCUCGGUUGGAUCGGGUGCUACGACCUUGUUCUGGUUCGACCGGUGGGACGGAGACUCCCCCUUCAUGGCGCGUUUCCCCGCCCUCUUCUCCAUCGCCGUUGACCCUUCCAUUUCUGUAGAGAGGGCCCUUAUUGACUUAGGGUGCCUCGCCUUUCGAAGGCCGUUCGGUCCUCCGGAGUCCGCCGCCUGGCGUGAGUUGCUAGAUUGCGUCACUCUCCACGAACCGGUAGUAGAUGCGGGCCCGGACUAG